rnacentral:rRNA from 1 species
AAGUCGUAACAAGGUUUUCGUAGGUGAACCUGCGGAAGGAUCAUUAAAGAGUUACUCCCCCGGGAGCUUCUCCAACCCGUGCGAACGAACCUCUGUUGCUUUGGCGGGCCGCGGCAUCCGCCGCCGGCCUCGGCUGGCGAGCGCCCGCCAGAGAUUUUAAUCUGAUUACCUGUGUCUGAGAAAACAUAAAUGCAAAAAAACUUUCAACAACGGAUCUCUUGGUUCUGGCAUCGAUGAAGAACGCAGCGAAAUGCGAUAAGUAAUGUGAAUUGCAGAAUUCCGCGAAUCAUCGAAUCUUUGAACGCACAUUGCGCCCUUUGGUAUUCCGAAGGGCAUGCCUGUUCGAGCGUCAUUUACACCCUCAAGCCCAGCUUGGUACUGGAGGCCGCCCCCGGGCGCCUCUGAAAUACAGCGGCGGCGUAGCCGGCUCCCUGGCGUAGUGACUUACUGUCGCCCCGGGGCCGGUCGUUCGUUUGCCGGACAACGCCCAAUUUCUGAAAUCGACCUCGGAUCAGGUAGGACUACCCGCUGAACUUAA